UCUCACUCUCUCACAAGAAAAACAAACGGGAGAACCUGAUUAGGAAAACAGUUUGGGAAGGAAGACGAUGGAAGAGCGAUAGUCAUCAUCAGAUCUCUGAGUCGAGCGUCCCCUUCUUCACAUGUUCUCCGUCGCCGAACGCAUAUUACCUGACACAAACCAAUCUUUCGGGGGCUUUUCGUGUUGAUGUAAGUGAGGUAGCACCCUACCAUUUUGUGCACUCUGUGCUAAAGCCAAGUUUUCAAAGAAUGCACUCUGUGCAAAGAAUAUAGAUAUUGCUUUAGCAUCAAAGCAAAUUGGCAACCGGUACUAUCUCGGGAAGAUUACAUCAAAGCUCAGUGCUGACGUGCUGCUACUCCCAGGUAUGAUAAGGUCAUUCUCAAUACUCACUUAGGACAUUAGUGUCUUUCUUACAAAAUGUGACAUGAUUUUCACGCUCUCUACAUCGUAAUAAUAGCCACUAUGCCUUGCUCCAAUAAAUGUUGAUGACAUGGGCAGAAAUCUGAUCACAAGUUUGUACAUAAACUGACUUCUUCGUUUCAGGUGAGUUUUGUACAUAAUCCUUUUUUCAACAAAAACUAUUUUUUUUAAAGUGUAACAGAGAUGUUCAAAAACAUGGAUUUUUGUUGGUCAAUAUGUCAAUUACCUAAUUG